AUGGUAACCACCACGCUGCACGCCGCCGCCAACUUCCUGCCCGGCCCCGGCGCCGACUGGGACUGGUUCAUCAACCUCUCCGCCUCUGACUACCCGCUCGUCACGCAGGACGAUCUGAUGGACGUGUUCUCGCGGCUGCCGCGUGACCUCAACUUCAUCGACCACACGAGCGACACGGGCCGGAAAGCGUCCUCGAGGGCGAUGGCGGGGAUCGUCGACCCGGGGCUGUGGAAGAACGAUACCGAGAAGCAGGAGCUGCCCACCGCCUUCACACUCUUCAAAGGUUCUGCUUGGACGGUGUUGUCACGGCCAUUCGUCAAGUACUUGAUCCGGGGGUGGAACAACCUCCCGCGCACCCUCCUCGUCUCCUACGCCAACCUCGUCUCCUCUCCAGAGGCCUACUUCCACACCAUGGCCUGCAACGCCGAGGAGUUCCGGAACACCACCGUGAACCACGACAUGCGCUACAUCUUCUGGGGCGACUUCCCUGCGCAUCAACCGGAACUCAUCAACUCCAGCCACUGGGACAGGAUGCUCGACAGUGAUGCCCCCUUCGCAUGCAAGUUUGGCCAGGACGACCCAGUGCUUGACAGGAUCGACGUAGGGCUCCUGUCGCGGCAGCCCGGCAUGCUUGCCCCCGGCAGCUGGAGCAUCGGUGAUACCGGCGGCGAUGGCUCCUUCUGGAUCGUGAGGGACGCGACGCCACUGCGUCCUGGCCCUGGAGCAGCCCGGCUGCAGCGGCUCGUCACGUCGCUCUUGUCUGAGGACAACUUCCGGCCAAAUCAGUGCAAGUUAGUCGAUGACAACGCCUGA
rnacentral:rRNA from 1 species